AUUGAACGCUGGCGGCAUGCUUUACACAUGCAAGUCGAACGGUAACAGGUUAAGCUGACGAGUGGCGAACGGGUGAGUAAUGCAUCGGAACGUGCCCGGUCGUGGGGGAUAACGCAGCGAAAGCUGCGCUAAUACCGCAUACGAUCUGAGGAUGAAAGCGGGGGGACCGUAAGGCCUCGCGCGAUCGGAGCGGCCGAUGUCAGAUUAGGUAGUUGGUGGGGUAAAGGCUCACCAAGCCGACGAUCUGUAGCUGGUCUGAGAGGACGACCAGCCACACUGGGACUGAGACACGGCCCAGACUCCUACGGGAGGCAGCAGUGGGGAAUUUUGGACAAUGGGCGCAAGCCUGAUCCAGCAAUGCCGCGUGCAGG
rnacentral:rRNA from 1 species